CCUGGCUCAGGACGAACGCUGGCGGCGCGCCUAACACAUGCAAGUCGAACGAGAGAUGAGGAGCUUGCUCUUCAAAUCGAGUGGCGAACGGGUGAGUAACGCGUGAGGAACCUGCCUCAAAGAGGGGGACAACAGUUGGAAACGACUGCUAAUACCGCAUAAGCCCACGGCUCGGCAUCGAGCAGAGGGAAAAGGAGCAAUCCGCUUUGAGAUGGCCUCGCGUCCGAUUAGCUAGUUGGUGAGGUAACGGCCCACCAAGGCGACGAUCGGUAGCCGGACUGAGAGGUUGAACGGCCACAUUGGGACUGAGACACGGCCCAGACUCCUACGGGAGGCAGCAGUGGGGAAUAUUGCACAAUGGGGGAAACCCUGAUGCAGCGACGCCGCGUGGAGGAAGAAGGUCUUCGGAUUGUAAACUCCUGUUGUUGAGGAAGAUAAUGACGGUACUCAACAAGGAAGUGACGGCUAACUACGUGCCAGCAGCCGCGGUAAAACGUAGGUCACAAGCGUUGUCCGGAAUUACUGGGUGUAAAGGGAGCGCAGGCGGGAGAACAAGUUGGAAGUGAAAUCCAUGGGCUCAACCCAUGAACUGCUUUCAAAACUGUUUUUCUUGAGUAGUGCAGAGGUAGGCGGAAUCCCCGGUGUAGCGGUGGAAUGCGUAGAUAUCGGGAGGAACACCAGUGGCGAAGGCGGCCUACUGGGCACCAACUGACGCUGAGGCUCGAAAGUGUGGGUAGCAAACAGGAUUAGAUACCCUGGUAGUCCACACCGUAAACGAUGAUUACUAGGUGUUGGAGGAUUGACCCCUUCAGUGCCGCAGUUAACACAAUAAGUAAUCCACCUGGGGAGUACGACCGCAAGGUUGAAACUCAAAGGAAUUGACGGGGGCCCGCACAAGCAGUGGAGUAUGUGGUUUAAUUCGACGCAACGCGAAGAACCUUACCAAGUCUUGACAUCCUGCGACGCACAUAGAAAUAUGUGUUUCCUUCGGGACGCAGAGACAGGUGGUGCAUGGUUGUCGUCAGCUCGUGUCGUGAGAUGUUGGGUUAAGUCCCGCAACGAGCGCAACCCUUAUGGUCAGUUACUACGCAAGAGGACUCUGGCCAGACUGCCGUUGACAAAACGGAGGAAGGUGGGGAUGACGUCAAAUCAUCAUGCCCUUUAUGACUUGGGCUACACACGUACUACAAUGGCGUUAAACAAAGAGAAGCAAGACCGCGAGGUGGAGCAAAACUCAGAAACAACGUCCCAGUUCGGACUGCAGGCUGCAACUCGCCUGCACGAAGUCGGAAUUGCUAGUAAUCGUGGAUCAGCAUGCCACGGUGAAUACGUUCCCGGGCCUUGUACACACCGCCCG
rnacentral:rRNA from 1 species